CUUGUAACUAACGUAACUAGGGAAAUUUUGAUGACGCUUUGUUAUGGUUUUCUACAAGAUUGACGUACUUUGCGCAUGCUGUACUUGAAGAGAGAGUUUGUUGGAAAAAUCUAUCGACUGCCAUGAAGAUCAUUUUAAUAGCUUUCAUUCUCUGUUGUUGUGCUUUCAUCUCUGAUGUGAUUGGCCAAAACGUGACGGGACCUGCGCGGAUUGACGAUGUACUUACAGCAGACGGAAUCGAAACGAAACCGGAUGGUCAUGUUGUGGACAAGAGAAGCGCUGACCCACCCUCUUUCAUCGCUCGCCGAGGAAAGAAGCACCACGGUGGAAGUAAGAACGAGAGACGACGAGAAAGGAGAAAAUGGCGGGGCUAGUUUGGUGUAGAGGACAUGUUAAGUUCCACACCGAAUGUUUUGUUUGUUAAAUGGACAGAUUUUUUGCUGCAAGUUUAGUUGAUGAAUUAUGUAUGGUGAUUUAUUUUCAUUGGACUUUCAAGAUAUUGUAUGAAGACCCAGGAACUGGCAAAGGCCCUGUGAGGAUGUAGGUUUAAAAGGAUGCUACGACCAAGAAUGUAAUCCUCAAUUCUUCAGCAAGAUUGUAUAGUCUAUGAAUUUAAGUUCCCAAUUACGGAAUAAAUCUAAUUUCUUUUUGUUUUAAA